rnacentral:rRNA from 1 species
GUUGUAUAGUCAAGUAAUUAAGUGCAUGUGGUGGAUGCCUUGGCAGUCAGAGGCGAUGAAAGACGUGAUAGCCUGCGAAAAGCUCCGGGGAGGCGGCAAAUAUCCUUUGAUCCGGAGAUGUCUGAAUGGGGGAACCCACCUACUUUAAGGUAGGUAUUGCAACAUGAAUACAUAGUGUUGCAAGGCGAACGAGGGGAAGUGAAACAUCUCAGUACCCUUAGGAAAAGAAAUCAAUUGAGAUUCCCUC